GACAGAGGGGGCAAGCGUUGCUCGGAAUCACUGGGCGUAAAGGGCGCGUAGGCGGGAUGGCAAGUCAGUCGUGAAAUCUCUCGGCUCAACCGAGAAACGUCGGCUGAUACUGCCGUUCUUGAGGGAUGCAGAGGAGACUGGAAUUCCCGGUGUAGCGGUGAAAUGUGUAGAGAUCAGGAGGAACACCGGUGGCGAAGGCGGGUCUCUGGGCCGAUACUGACGCUGAGGAGCGAAAGCGUGUGGAGCGAACAGG
rnacentral:rRNA from 1 species